UCCCUCCCAAAUCCUGUGCUAAUCUGACAGAACAAAACUGUGAAUCCAAAAAAUUUCUCUCUCAAUUUCUUCACAGCCAAACCAAAACCAGAGACUUUUACGCAGACCCACUGCAAAGUAACAGAGAGAGAUGUGUACUCAUGGCUUAUUGAUCCCUGGAAGCGAGGCCUCUCGCUUCUGCUUCUCUUCCACCGUCUCUUCUCCCACCGUAACGUAUAAGUCCGACCCAUUUUUCCGCUUCAAGCCUCUGACACGUUUCUCGCACGGGUCAUUCAAAAUCAAGGCUGCUGUGCAGGAAGGAAUCCCCACCAACAUGAGCUUUUAUGAGCUGUUGGGGAUUCCUGAGUCCGGUACCUUGAUUGAGAUAAAG
rnacentral:misc_RNA from 1 species